UACGGAGGGUGCGAGCGUUGUCCGGAAUCACUGGGCGUAAAGGGCGCGUAGGUAGCGCGAGUAGUCAACGGUGAAAGCCCGGGGCUCAACCCCGGGUCGGCCGUCGAUACUCUCGUGCUUGAGCACUGUAGAGGCAGGUGGAAUUCCGGGUGUAGCGGUGGAAUGCGUAGAGAUCCGGAAGAACACCGGUGGCGAAGGCGGCCUGCUGGGCAGUAGCUGACACUGAGGCGCGACAGCGUGGGGAGCAAACAGG
rnacentral:rRNA from 1 species